AUUGAACGCUGGCGGCAUGCCUUACACAUGCAAGUCGAACGGUAACGCGGGGCAACCUGGCGACGAGUGGCGAACGGGUGAGUAAUGUAUCGGAACGUGCCCAGUUGUGGGGGAUAACUGCUCGAAAGAGCAGCUAAUACCGCAUACGACCUGAGGGUGAAAGCGGGGGAUCGCAAGACCUCGCGCAUUUGGAGCGGCCGAUAUCAGAUGAGGUAGUUGGUGGGGUAAAGGAUCACCAAGCCGACGGUCUGUAGCUGGUCUGAGAGGACGACCAGCCACACUGGGACUGAGACACGGCCCAGACUCCUACGGGAGGCAGCAGUGGGGAAUUUUGGACAAUGGACGCAAGUCUGAUCCAGCCAUGCCGCGUGCGGGAAGAAGGCCUUCGGGUUGUAAACCGCUUUUGUCAGGGAAGAAAAGGCUCCUUCUAAUAUAGGGGGCUCAUGACGGUACCUGAAGAAUAAGCACCGGCUAACUACGUGCCAGCCGCCGCGGUAA
rnacentral:rRNA from 1 species